UGAAUAGCACCGGGGAGCUGGUUGAGGCUAGCUGAGAGGGAAUUCCGAAGAAAAUUCCGACCCUUAUACCUGAUCUGGAUAAUGCCAGCGUAGGAAUUGUUAUUAAGGUAUGC
rnacentral:ncRNA from 2 species